ACUAUGAUUCAAAUUUGCACAACAGAUUAACAAUAAUCAAAGUGUUAUUAGCAAGAACAACUAUAGAUCUUACAAGAGUAUAUAAGAACGAUGACAUUCUUUUACACGCUGCUGUUCUUGGAGGAAAUAUCGAAUUAGUCAAAUUGUUAUUAGAAAGAACAAUUCAAGAUCCUACUGAAAAAAAUCAGGGCAAUGACACUGUUUUACAUUCUGCUGUUCUUGGAGGAGAUUUCGAAAUAGUCAAAUUGUUAUUAGAGAGAACAUGUAUAGAUCCGACUGAAAAAAAUCAGG